GUGCUUCCUUUGGCAGCACAUAUAGUAAAAAUGGAAUGAUAUGGAGAAGAUCAACAUGGCCCCUAUGCAAGGAAGUCAUGCAAAUUCAUGAAGCAUUCCAUAUUUUU
rnacentral:snRNA from 1 species